CUUGCCUAGAUGAAUUUGGUGCUUGCACCAGAUGAAACUAGAUACAAGCGAGCGGCGGACGGGUGAGUAACACGUGGGUAACCUGCCCAAGAGACUGGGAUAACACCUAGAAACAGAUGCUAAUACCGGAUAACAACACUAGACGCAUGUCUAGAGUUUAAAAGAUGGUUCUGCUAUCACUCUUGGAUGGACCUGCGGUGCAUUAGCUAGUUGGUAAGGUAACGGCUUACCAAGGCAAUGAUGCAUAGCCGAGUUGAGAGACUGAUCGGCCACAUUGGGACUGAGACACGGGCCAAACUCCUACGGGAGGCAGCAGUAGGGAAUCUUCCACAAUGGACGCCAAGUCUGAUGGAACAACGCCGCGUGAGUGAAGAAGGGUUUCGGCUCGUAAAGCUCUGUUGGUAGUGAAGAAAGAUAGAGGUAGUAACUGGCCUUUAUUUGACGGUAAUUACUUAGAAAGUCACGGCUAACUACGUGCCAGCAGCCGCGGUAAUACGUAGGUGGCAAGCGUUGUCCGGAUUUAUUGGGCGUAAAGCGAGUGCAGGCGGUUCAAUAAGUCUGAUGUGAAAGCCUUCGGCUCAACCGGAGAAUUGCAUCAGAAACUGUUGAACUUGAGUGCAGAAGAGGAGAGUGGAACUCCAUGUGUAGCGGUGGAAUGCGUAGAUAUAUGGAAGAACACCAGUGGCGAAGGCGGCUCUCUGGUCUGCAACUGACG
rnacentral:rRNA from 1 species